AGCAGCCGCGGUAAUUCCAGCUCCAAUAGCGUAUAUUAAAGUUGUUGCAGUUAAAAAGCUCGUAGUUGAAUUUCGGGGUUAGCAGGUCGGUCGUGCCAUCGGUAUGAACUGGUCCCGCUGAUCCCUCCCUCUUGACGAACUGUGAUGCCAUUAAUUUGGUGUCGCAGGGAAUCAGGACUGUUACUUUGAAAAAUUGAGUGUUUAAAGCAGGCUCACGCUUGAAUACAUUAGCAUGGAAUAAUGAAAUAGGACGUUUGAUCCUAUUUUGUUGGCUUCUAGGAUUGACGUAAUGAUUAAUAGGGAUAGUUGGGGGCAUUAGUAUUCAAUUGUCAGAGGUGAAAUUCUUGGAUUUAUUGAAGACUAACUACUGCGAAAGCAUUUGCCAAGGAUGUUUUCAUUAAUCAAGAACGAAAGUUAGGGGAUCGAAGACGAUCAGAUACCGUCGUAGUCUUAACCAUAAACUAUGCCGACUAGGGAUCGGAUGAUGUUAAUUUUAAUGUA
rnacentral:misc_RNA from 1 species